ensembl:misc_RNA
UUGAUGCCUUGGGGAGAGCAAAGCCUUUUAUUUGUCCCCUGGCAGGUUCUCCCCAUGCUCCACAGUGGCAUGGCUUCCCUGUGACCUGAAAGGACCACCUUUAAGGGUGAAAAGUAGUUUAGUUUCCGGGGCCUUUCCAAACUUGCCCUUU